GUCCACGCCGUAAACGAUGGGCACUAGGUGUGGGGGGUAUUGACCCCCUCCGUGCCGAAGCUAACGCAAUAAGUGCCCCGCCUGGGGAGUACGGCCGCAAGGCUAAAACUCAAAGGAAUUGACGGGGGCCCGCACAAGCAGCGGAGCGUGUGGUUUAAUUCGACGCAACGCGAAGAACCUUACCAAGGCUUGACAUGCUGGUAGUACCGAUCCGAAAGGUGAGGGACCCUUCGGGGAGCCAGUGCAGGUGAUGCAUGGCUGUCGU
rnacentral:rRNA from 1 species